rnacentral:rRNA from 1 species
GAUCAUGGCUCAGGAUGAACGCUAGCUACAGGCUUAACACAUGCAAGGUCGGGGGGGCAGCAUGAACUUAGCUUGCUAAGUUUGAUGGCGACCGGCGCACGGGUGAGUAACACGUAUCCAACCUGCCGAUGACUCGGGGAUAGCCUUUCGAAAGAAAGAUUAAUACCCGAUGGCAUAGUUCUUCCGCAUGGUAGAACUAUUAAAGAAUUUCGGUCAUCGAUGGGGAUGCGUUCCAUUAGGUUGG